rnacentral:tRNA from 1 species
GCAGGAGUUGCCAAGCCUGGUCUACGGCGCUAGAAUAUGAAGCCAAUGAGCUUCAAUGGUGUGACUGAGGUUCUAGUGACAAAGGUCUUCUUCGAUGGUCUUACCACGAGGGCCAAAUCGUGGGUUCGAAUCCCACCUCCUGCA